GGGCCGGUAGCUUAGCCAGGUAGAGCAACGGGCUCUUAACCCGUCGGUCAAGGGUUCAACUCCCUUUCGGCCCG
rnacentral:tRNA from 1 species